UACGAGUGCCUCGAGCGUUAUCCGGAAUCAUUGGGCGUAAAGGGUGCGUAGGCGGCCUUGUUAGUCUCGCGUAAAAUCCUUCGGCUCAACCGAGGGCUCGCGUGGGAAACGGCAAGGCUAAGAGGAUGGUAGGGGUCUCUGGAACUCUAGGUGUAGCGGUGAAAUGCGUAGAGAUCGGAAAGAACACCAACGGCGAAAGCACUCUGCUGGGCCGACACUGACACUGAGAGACGAAAGCUAGGGGAGCGAAUGGG
rnacentral:rRNA from 1 species